UUCUCAAUUUCAAGGUUCCAUUCUUCAGGGAACAAAAAUGCAGUCUCAGACAUUUCAGCUUCCUCUCAUCAUAUCUCUGAGUCUUAUCUUUUGUUUCUGGGGAGUUCAGUAGUACUACAGUGCUGGAGGUGCCUGGAGAGAGUGGAAGAUCUGCCCACCACAGCCUGUCUCAGGCCUGCUGGUGACCAUCCAUGCAUAUCACCACCCAGAAGCUCCUCAUUCUUACCUGUCAGGCAGACAGGACCUCCCAUUGCCUCCUCUACAUUCCUGUCCUUUUUUGAAGCAUUAUGGUCCUUGUGUGAAGCUGGGAAUGGGGAAGUUCAAGAGACCACCUGCAAAAAGGACUGUGCAAAGCAUCUUCUCAAUAACCUUGCCAACUCCCUGCAGCUGCCACAGGUCACCAAGUUAUCUGAGGGGUUUGGUCCCCAGACCUUCCUAACCCAUCCACAAGACUCAGCCCAGAAAACACGAUAAAGAGCCCAAAGAUUCAAAGGAAGAUUUUGAACUUGAUGAUGGAGGAAUAAUACUUCUUGGAGAAAUGAAGAUAAAGAUUGUUUCAUUCUUGGUACACCUGAGUGUCCAGUACCCAGUGAAUGUGAUAAGAAGUGGGCUGCUUACAAAGGGUACCUAGGCAGUGACAUCUGCACCUCUCGGAACCAGAUGCCACUGUGGACAUUUUCUCAACCUUUUUCCACUGUGCACACAGCUUGGCGUCCUGGCAGGCCUUUCCCCUAAUUUUUAACCUUCAGAUAUUCUAAGAGGGAGCUGAACAUAUGGUACAAACUGAAUAAAUGGGAGCAGAUGACUGCAAAGAGAACGUGAUUUAAUGUCAGGAAGAUAGACAAGUAGGUCUUUCUUAAAUUGAUAUGUGGUUGUAGGACCAUUGAAUCAUUUCUAUGUGAAUGUUCCUUCCUAGAUUUAGUAAAAUACUUCAAUUUGUGAGAAAUCCCAUGUCAAUAACAUAUAAACCGAGGAAAGCUUUAAGAUCUGUGCAGCUCCCAGAACAUCCUUAGAUUGUCUCUGCUUGCUCUUGUCACUUCCUCAAUGCCAGUCAUUCUUGUACAUUUCUUCCAUUGUAUUUUUCAUGAAGUAAACACAGUUAUUACCACAGAUUAGCAGACAAAUCGAGGCAGGGCUUCUCUUUUCUCCAUGAAGUUCUUCUGGACUUGUUUAUAUUGUAACAUCUUUGAAGGUGAGACACAUUCUAGUCUACAUUUGUUGGUACCUGGCACAUAUUGAGUACAUGGCCAAUUUUUUGACAGUAUCAAUUAAUAGUCAAACACGGAUGAAUGAAAAAGUUGAUGUUUUGUGAAGCCCUCAAUGAUUUAGAGAACAUUUAGAAAUGAAUCCAUUUCAUUUCCAAAGAAAAUUUUGCAUUAAGUUUUUUUUUUUAAUUCUCCCAAGUGAGAUUUGGGGAAAUUUCAUAUGAUAAACUCUUUACAUUAUCUUGCAGUAAUUCCACAGAAAUCUCUAUUUAUGUAAACACAGUAAAUGCAUCAUAACACUAGAAUAAGUGUACAAAUACUGCAUGUCAAAUUAGGUUAUAAUCACUUUCAAGGGACGUGAUUUCCUAGCUAAACAGAUUCCUUUACAUUUUGCAAAAUAAAAAAUAAGUGAAAAUAACUAUAUAAAAUCAGGCUUACAGCUGGACAGAACUUCUUGGCAAUGGUCCAGACACUGAGCAGGGAAAACCCCUACAGCUGAGGAGUGUGUAGGACUCUCGGGAUGACUUUGCAGGCUUGGCCUGGAGAGCUGCUCCUUUGGCUGAUUCCUGAGUGUGUACCUGUCCCUGAUGACCUGUAGGGAGAGAAGCUACAUUAACAUUUAAAAUGAGACUUGCUGUGAGAGGAUUAGGAGGUAGUGGGAGCAGAGUGGAAAUUUGUUUGGUUAAAGGGAAUAAAAAAUGUAAUUUGACAUUUCACCCUUAGGUAAAAAAGCAUGAUAGAGAAAGUCAGGGGUCUUGUAACUAAAAAAGUAAAUAGUUGAAGCUAACAUUGGAAUUGUUGAACAUUAGGUCAGGGUUUGAUUGCCAUGGAUCCUGUGGUCCAACCCGUGGAAUACAGAUGGGGAAAUGCUGGCUGCAGUGCAAAAAGCAGGGCUAGGUCUUGAGAUCAAGAAGUCUGCCUCCACAAACUGAUGUAUAUCUAUGAAAUAAUUGAAGCCUGUUCUUUGAAGAGAGUGAAUAGUUUAACAACUACUCAUUCUGGUGCAUAUCUUUAAAAAAUACAUUCUACAUCUCUCCAACACUUUCUACAACACUCUCUUAUUUUGAUUCCACAAGGGUAUAAUUGUAAGCCUCAGUUGCAAUAGAAUACUACAUAACUCAGUGGUAUUCUCUGUAGCCUAUUGGUAAUGCAGAGCUUUCACUUAGCUUCAAUAAAUUGUGUGUUUGCAUUUGGUUAUCUUUCCUAUGUUCCCUUAACUGUGUUCAUGUGCUUAUUUUUGUUGAUUUCAAGAAGUGACUAAAAUGGGGGAUUUUUUAAAAUCUGUUAAUUUUGACUUGAAGGUAGCUCACAAUUCUAUAUGUAUGAAGUGUUUCUGUUUUAGUUUAACUGAUACUAAUUUUUACUCAAAAUACAGUUGUUGAACACAUUUUCUAUAUACUGUGCAAAAGUUUCCCUCCACAUUCCAUUGGCUGAACUGCUGUGACCAGGGGUUGGCAAACUAUGCCCUGAAAGCUGAAACUAGUUCAGUGCCUGAUCUUGUAAAUAAAGUUUUAUUGAAAUACAAUCAUGC
rnacentral:lncRNA from 1 species